GGGGGGGGGUGCAAAAGGGGUAAGUGAGACGUCAGAGGCCCGCCCGCGCGCGCGCGCGCGCGCUAGGCCAGGAAACGGAAGUGCGCUGCUGCACGAAAGCGGACCUUGAGAGCAAAGCGCAGCCAUCCACACGGCCUGCGGUAGACUUCGCCUCCUCGGUAGUAGGCUCGCACGAAUCGCAAGGAGCACAACGAGCGCGAGUCCUCCGUGGAACGGGUUUACGUUUUUGGAGUUGUUCGGGCACUGACCUGUGACCCAUGGCUGCGGACACGAAGCCCUUCACCGACAUGGGCAUAGCGAAGGUCAGGCUGGGGCCGCGCCCAGACGCCCGAGCCUGCCUCGAGGUAAUCGGAGUGUUGCAGAGCGCCGACAGAGCCUCUAGGCGGAUGUCACUGCUGCUCACCAUUUUGAUCCCAAAACCUCCGCCCUCCCUCGAAGGUGGCUUUUGUCAAAUGGUUUCACCUUGGCCAUGGACGGGGGCCCUUGUAGAUACUCAAAGAUGUGCGUGCGUGUUGGUGACGAGCUCUCAUUAACUAAUCAGAAAAACCUGAAGGGAGGCUGGGCGUUGUCGGCACCUGCCCCCUUUUCUAUUCAUCCAGAUCCAUGGAGUCCCGAGUCUUUCACUCCAAACCCCUCCAAGCAUCAUUUUUUGUUUUCCGCAUUAAAUAAAUCAAUCAUGUUGCUGUUAAUACAUUUCUUUUAUUUUGAAGGAGAUGUAUAUGCAGGCACAGUAACACGUUGUUUACUUUCCUGGAUGAGAAAAUAAAUUGG